rnacentral:lncRNA from 13 species
AGGACCCUUGUGAUUAAUUUAGGGCCACCUGGAUAAUCUCCCCAUCUCAAGAUUCUCAGUCCAAUCACAUCGCGAAGUCUCUUUUGCCAUGAAAGGUCCCAUAUUUAUAGGUUUCAGUGAUGAGGACAUGGAUGUCAUCGUGGAAUGCAUGUUCUUCUGCCAGCUCCACAAAGAAUUAUGCAUUCUUUCACUCUAGCACAGCUUUGACCUUGGGGUUUCAGGCUGUAACUAGGGAUUCUGCAUUUGCCCAAAUAUUUAUUGAGCACCUACUACACGCCAGGACCUGUGCUAAGUGUUAGGACUAGGGCAGUGAACAAAACAGACUACUCCCAGGGCACUCUCUUUGAAGAAGACACAGGUAUUCACAUUUGUCCCAUCAUGCCCACCCUGCCAGUCUUACCUGUGGGCAUUGGAAUUCACCAUUCCCAUGUACCCGUCCCCACUUCCUGCCCUAUAGAUGGAACACUAUAGACUGCUCCGUAUCCCAUCAAUCUUUGGACCACUUUCUUCUGACCUCUGGGUUCCCGGGGUGGCUUCUGCAGGCACGUAGAGAUGGGACAGGACCUCUCUCAGUGCCUCUGGUUCUCACUCACCUAGGCUAAGAAAAGGGAGGUUGAGGCCACUUUGAAAGUCAAGCGGAAAGUUGUACUGCACUUAAAGGGUUUGCAUCACGACAGAUCUCAGCACGGGGAAAGCCGGCACAGCCUAGCCCUGGACUUGGCCCAUUCCUUCCAGCUGAGCUUCCCCCAGGCCCUGAGCUUGGAUGGGGGCAUCAUCUUUAGACAGAGUCCUCCAGGAACGUUCAAUUUUGGCGUGGAUACUCGAGCUGCCAUCAACCACGUCACAUCCCAGGUCUCGGUCCAGCUGAACAGAUCUGACUCCAACUUUGCGUUUUUCUUCCAACUCAGACAUCCCCACAGACCAGCAUUUCCUCCAGACUUCCAGGUGCAGGCAGCUGCCGGGCACUACAGAGUGCGCAGCCUCAAUGGGUCCCUAUCUGUGCGAAUGUCCAGCCGGGAGCUGGUUCUGCUGGAGGUCGACGCCAGCCAGGACACUCGGAGGAGCGGCCAGGGCUGGGGCGUGAGUGUCCUUCUCCACCAGGCUGUCUUCAGCGCCCCCAGGGCUGUUCGGCUGCAGCUGUCUGGAAAGAUCACCCCAGCAAGGUAACGGUCUCUAGGUGGCCUGCGACGAGGCGGGGAGACCAUAGAGGGCAAAAGGCACGUGUCUUGGGACAUGGGAAGUCCUCACUCAGAGGCCCCUCUCUGUCCCUCUGAAACCACACCCAAGUCAGCCCCAUCGGUGCCACUGAGGGCGGGCAUCAAAAGCAGGUGGCAUUCAGUUUUCCACUUUGACCCUUUCUUUCUUUUUUGUAUUGUUAUGAGAGCGUUGAUUGUAGAUGGCUUAAAGGAUGAUGUGUAAGGGCAGGGCACCAUGGGUCACACCCCAGGGCUUUGGGAGGCUGAGGCAGGAGGACUGCUUGAGUUCAGGAGUUCCAGGGCAGCUUAUGCAAUACCACGAGACCCCAUCUCCACAAAAAAUUAAAAAAUAUAUUAGCCAGAUGUGGGGUGCACCUGUAGUCCCAGCUCCUCAUGAGGCUGAGGUGGGAAGAUUGUUUGAGCUCAGGAGUUCAAGAGCAGCCUGGACAACAUAGUGAGACCCCAUCAUCUGUACAAAAUAUUUUUAAAAGCCAGAUGUGGUGGCAUGCACCUGUAAUCCCAGCUACUUGGGAGGCUGAGAUGAGAGGAUUGCUUGAGCUUCGGAGUUGGAGGCUGCAGUGAGCUAUGGUUGCACCAUUGCAGUCCAGCCUGGGCGGCAGAGUGAAAUGAGCCUGUUGCUAAAAUAGCAAUAAUAGUAAUAAUGUAAAAAUGAAUGAAACAAAAUCACUAGUGACCCAAAGAACGUGUGUCUCCCUCUGGUCUCACAUCUGAGUAUAUAUU